UAACUUUAAGCAACAAAGUUCUAUUGGAGUCUUAUCUCUUAUAACCACCUCCUCCAAGCAUUCCAUUUUAUAUUCCAGCAAUAAUGUUCAAAAUUGUCUUAACACACCACUUAAACUUCACUUCUGAAUGUUUUCUCUAUCAGGGAUGUCCAACCCGUGGCCUGUGGGCUUGCAUGCGGCCCAGGACGGCUAUGAAUGCGGCCCAGCACAAAAUUGUAAACUUACUUAAAACUUUUUUUCAGCUCACCAGUUUUCAUCAGUAUUUGUGUAUUUAAUGUGUGGCCUAAGAUAACUCUUCUCCUUCCAGUGAGGCCCAGAGAUGCCAAAAGGUUGGACACCCCUGCAAAUGGCUCUCCCUUCCUUGUAUAUUUGGAAAGCUCUCUUUAUACUUUUAAAACCUAGCUCUCAUCUCUUCCAGAAAGCCCUUCCCACCCUCACCUGGAUGGCACUAAAAUCUCCCACACUCUUGGCUACCUCUACAGCCACACGUGCCUUCGUGAAUAUAUUUUCCACACAGCUUACCCUUCUUGUAUGCCCCUUCUUAGGCUGUGUAUUAUUCUUACUUAUUUCUACCCCAGCAUACUGCUUGCACAUUAGCAGAUACUCAAUAUACCUACUAAAUUAAAUCAGAAUUGAUUCAACCUAACCCAUACCAGACAGCAAGAAUUCAAGACCAGGUUUAAAAGUAAAUUAACAAAAACUUGAAGCAUAGUAUGCCACUUGUGAAGGUUUAGUAACAAGUCACAGACAAGAACAAACACAGAACUUCAAUUUCAGGGUAGGUACACACCAAAGAAGUACAAAAGUGGUUUCCAGUUGAAUAAAAUUAACAUGUAGUUAUAUAUACUUAGUGUCAUUCCUUUGGGGCCUACUGCAAUGUUUUCAGUUUUAGUCAAGUCUCUCCUAACAACACCAUCUAUUAUUACUUUUGACAUCUGUUAGUCAAUCUUCUGAUUAUUUUAAAAUACCAAUCAGCCUAAGAGUCCUUUG